UAAAUAUUCAUUUUCUUGGAGUACUGGCUGUUUUAUAGCUGAUUAUGAACUUACUUGUUGGUGUAGUUUCAAGUUAGUAUUUCUUUUUUAUAAGUGGUGGAAAACCAUUUACCAGUUCUGUGAAGAGGUAGAUGAUGCUAAAAUUAAGAAGGGAGAAGGCCAACACUUAGCUGAGAGAUACUAUACUCACAACAUUUAGCUGAAACACCAACAUUCAAAGCCCUAGUAAAACAUAAGAAGUCAUCC
rnacentral:lncRNA from 1 species